rnacentral:tRNA from 1 species
GCGAAAGUGGCGGAACUGGUAGACGCGCGAGACUUAGGAUCUCGUGGCCCAUGGCCGUGGGGGUUCGAGUCCCCCCUUUCGCA